rnacentral:rRNA from 1 species
CUCCCUUCCAUGCAGUCGAACGGCAGCACGGACUUCGGUCUGGUGGCGAGUGGCGAACGGGUGAGUAAUACAUCGGAACGUACCCUGUUGUGGGGGAUAACUAGUCGAAAGAUUAGCUAAUACCGCAUACGACCUGAGGGUGAAAGUGGGGGACCGUAAGGCCUCACGCAGCAGGAGCGGCCGAUGUCUGAUUAGCUAGUUGGUGGGGUAAAGGCCCACCAAGGCGACGAUCAGUAGCUGGUCUGAGAGGACGAUCAGCCACACUGGGACUGAGACACGGCCCAGACUCCUACGGGAGGCAGCAGUGGGGAAUUUUGGACAAUGGGGGCAACCCUGAUCCAGCAAUGCCGCGUGUGUGAAGAAGGCCUUCGGGUUGUAAAGCACUUUUGUCCGGAAAGAAAUCGCUUCGGUUAAUACCUGGGGUGGAUGACGGUACCGGAAGAAUAAGCACCGGCUAACUACGUGCCAGCAGCCGCGGUAAUACGUAGGGUGCGAGCGUUAAUCGGAAUUACUGGGCGUAAAGCGUGCGCAGGCGGUUUUGUAAAACAGGCGUGAAAUCCCCGAGCUCAACUUGGGAAUUGCGCUUGUGACUGCAAGGCUAGAGUAUCUCAAAGGGGGGUAAAAUCCCCCUUUAGCAUUGAAUUCCUUAAAAUUUGGAGGAAUACCCAUGGCGAAGGCACCCCCCUGGAACUUCCUGACCCUCUUGCCCAAAACCUGGGGACCAAAC